CCCUGCGCAGCCACGUACGGGGUCCGUCCACGUCGCGCCGUCAGGCACGACAUCGCUUCGGCGACUGGGAUGCAAGGACCCGCGAUGGCGGUCAGGUCGGAGGACUACGCCAUG
rnacentral:ncRNA from 1 species